UACGGGGUAGAGCAGUGGCAGCUCAGUUGGCUCAUAACCAAAAGGUCGCCGGUUCGAGUCCGGCCCCCGUAA
rnacentral:tRNA from 3 species